rnacentral:rRNA from 1 species
UACGUAGGUGGCAAGCGUUGUCCGGAUUUACUGGGCGUAAAGAGCGCGCAGGCGGUCGUUCAAGUCGAGUGUGAAAGCCCCCGGCUCAACUGGGGAGGGUCACUCGAUACUGAUCGACUCGAAGGCAGAAGAGGGAAGCGGAAUUCCCGGUGUAGUGGUGAAAUGCGUAGAUAUCUGGAGGAAUACCGGUGGCGAAGGCGGCAUCCUGGACCGGCAUUGACGCUGAACAGCGAAAGCUAGGGGAGCAAACGGG